AUGCUCAGAGAGGCAGGAAACGGGGCCAGCCAGGGGGACUCGAGAGCGGCUGCACUUUCCUGUCCCCCGCCGAGGAGAGCGGAGGAGCAGCGGCCCGUGGCCUGGCGAGUUUCCCCGGAGAGGAGCCGGAUUCCUGUGCAGGGACGGAGCGAGGAGUCCGAGGAAGCUGCAACUGGCUCUGGAUUCUGCGCUCCUCAGGAAGCUGAACCUGCAAACCUAGCUGAGUCUGAACCUGCAACCCUGGCCAGGAUGGAAGGAGGAAGAUGGACGGUUGACCUGGUCAGGCUAUCUCCCGCAUCCCUCCCCACAACCUCUGAGCAUUCCCUCCCAGGACCCUUGGAGAAAUCUGGUGAGUUCCAGGGGAGAGGAGAUGGGGAGAGGGAUAGAUGGAAGGUGGCGGGAGAAAGAGGAAAAGAUGGAGAGGAGACAAAUGGAAGGAAGUUCCUGACAGGAAGAAGGAAGGGAUGAGGCCUUCUGCAAAGCAGCUCUUUGUUUCUUGAAUCCUUUUCCUAAAGUAGUGGGGGCAGAUUUUCUUCCUCCAGGCUUUGAAAUCUUAGGUGUUAUUUCCACGGCAGGAAUAAUUGAUGAUAAUGAUGUUGCACACCAAUCCUGAACAAUGGGUGAAGGGGAAUGGAAAUGUUUCCCAUAAUUAUUUAUAAUUAAUAUACAUAAAUUGUUUCUAUUACUCUUAUUGUUUAUAGACAGGGUCAGAAUGAUACAUCCCACCAGCAUCAAAACACAAUAAAUGCAUGCAGCUCCCCAGUUUGGUGGGCUUAAGGGACAAAGGACCAUUUAUCAUGAUACACAAUUCCUGUGGCUGGAGGCUCUACACUUAGGAUUGGGUAUAUUAAGUCCAAGAGUGUCUGGUAUUAUAAGCAAAUUGUGUAAAUCUUACAGACUGGGGUUGUUGAGAGUCAGUGAGUGGGAUAAUAAUUUAUAGCGCCACUGUGAAAAGGCUUGGUUCUCCCGCACACACGUGAGACAACUCCAGUAGUAAUUAUCUCAAACUCAUAAAUCACUGUGGAGCUCAGUCUUCGGCCUGUUCAACCCAGCUUGCAGUUGCCGAGUCCUCCAGCAAAGAA
rnacentral:lncRNA from 1 species